CUACAUCAGAAGAGACAGCGAAUCCCGGCAAUCACCGUGCAUUUUCAUCUACCAGAGGCACUAAUGAAAAUGCCAGUCAUUGACGGAAUUCGUUGAAUCUGGAAUUAAAGCAU
rnacentral:pre_miRNA from 18 species